AUUGAACGCUGGCGGCAUGCCUUACACAUGCAAGUCGAACGGCAGCACGGGAGCAAUCCUGGUGGCGAGUGGCGAACGGGUGAGUAAUAUAUCGGAACGUGCCCAGUCGUGGGGAUAACGUAGCGAAAGCUACGCUAAUACCGCAUACGAUCUAUGGAUGAAAGCGGGGGAUCGCAAGACCUCGCGCGAUUGGAGCGGCCGAUAUCAGAUUAGGUAGUUGGUGAGGUAAAGGCUCACCAAGCCGACGAUCUGUAGCUGGUCUGAGAGGACGACCAGCCACACUGGGACUGAGACACGGCCCAGACUCCUACGGGAGGCAGCAGUGGGGAAUUUUUGGGACAAUGGGCGCAAGCCUGAUCCAGCAAUGCCGCGUGCAGGAUGAAGGCCUUGGUUGUAACGUAGUCUUUGUACGGUAACGAAACGGUA
rnacentral:rRNA from 1 species